GAUGAACGCUAGCUACAGGCUUAACACAUGCAAGUCGAGGGGAAACGCCAUCGACAGCUUGCUUUUGAUGUGCGUGGACCGGCGCACGGGUGAGUAACGCGUACUCCAUAUGCCCAUCACUUGGGAUUAACCUUCCGAAAGUAAGACUAAUACCUAAUGACAUCCCACGAAGUCAUCUGUAUGGGACUAUCGAUUUAUCGGUGAUGGAUGGGGAUGCGUCUGAUUAGCUUGUUGGUGGGGUAACGGCCUACCAAGGCAACGAUCAGUAGGGGAUCUGAGAGGAAGGUACCCCACAAUGGAACUGAGGCACAGACCAAACUCCUACGCGAGGCAAGAGUGAGGAAUAUUAGGCAAUGAGCGAGAGCCUGAACCAGCCGAGUAGCGUGCAGGAUGACUGCCCUAUGAGUAGUAAACUACUUUUAUAAGAGAAAAAAGUAAGUAUCGUGAGACUUUUUGCAUGUACCUUAUGAAUAAGGAACGGCUAAUUCCGUG
rnacentral:rRNA from 1 species